rnacentral:rRNA from 1 species
GUGGGGAAUAUUGCACAAUGGGCGAAAGCCUGAUGCAGCAACGCCGCGUGAGGGACGACGGCCUUCGGGUUGUAAACCUCUUUUAGUAGGGAAGAAGCGAAAGUGACGGUACCUGCAGAAAAAGCACCGGCUAACUACGUGCCAGCAGCCGCGGUAAUACGUAGGGUGCAAGCGUUAUCCGGAAUUAUUGGGCGUAAAGAGCUCGUAGGCGGUUUGUCGCGUCUGCUGUGAAAACCCGAGGCUCAACCUCGGGCCUGCAGUGGGUACGGGCAGACUAGAGUGCGGUAGGGGAGAUUGGAAUUCCUGGUGUAGCGGUGGAAUGCGCAGAUAUCAGGAGGAACACCGAUGGCGAAGGCAGAUCUCUGGGCCGUAACUGACGCUGAGGAGCGAAAGCAUGGGGAGCGAACAGGAUUUGAAACCCUUGUAGUCC